CAAUUGUCACACGGGAGCAUGGCCGAAACCAUGCUGAGAGGACGCCACCUAGAAGGCGGGGCGUCGACCGUUUAACCUGUCCGGAUAAUGCCGGCGUAGGGAGGAAUCAUGAAACGUCA
rnacentral:ncRNA from 2 species